AAAAAAGCUUGUUCAAACAACCUCUUUUUUCUGUUAUUAACUUGUUUUAAGUCAUUCAACCCAUUUGAAUUUGUAAAAACAAAAGUUAACAAUCAAUUUGUGUUGGAACCACAAAGGAAUUGUGUGGAGCCCAGCAUGUUUUCAGUGUAUACUUGGUAAAGUGCAAGGCAAAUGAUAUGCAAGUGUUCUCAGCAAACUAAACAUUACUGAAUGUUUUCAGAAUACUACUGUAGGUUAUGCUAUAGGCUAUGUCAGCUUCUAAUUUAAUUAUUAACUCACAAAGUGAACUAAGCUAAAUCCAUCCAAUAUAGGGGUUAGUGAAUGAGUGAACGAUUUCGGACACAGUUUGAAACUCACGUGACUCUUUGUUUCUGCGCGAACCUGGAUUUGUUUGACACGUCGCGGCAGGCGAUUCAAUUCAGGUGUUAAAAACGCGACGAAAAUAUGCCUCUUUCUUGAACCACGCUUUGACUGACUCGAACCCCAUCAUCGUGGUCGACUCCUUUCUGGGUCUCAAGUCCACGUAGGUACAUGGCGAGCUACUGGACAAACUGGUAACAGUGAGAAAGCCAUCCAUAUGAAGAAAGAGGAAUGAGAUCUCAAGGGAGGAUAUGUUUGGUGAAUUAUAAAGGCUCCUCUAACAUGUCAUCUCCUCACUGGCUGCCGACCAGGCAAAGCCAACUGGAAGCAACAGAUAAGAGGCCAGAAAUAUGUCAGAAGGAUUUCCACCGAGAGAAAGGAGAGCGAGCGUGAAAAAAAUGGAGCGAGGGAGAGAAGAACAGAGAGAUAUGAAGGAGUAAAGAGGUGCAGUUAGAGUUUGAGGGAGUCAAACAGGCAGGACACAAAGGUAAAAUCAAUGUCCCCUUUAAGCCAUAAUCGAUAGUCUUCACUGCGUAAAACACAAGAAGGAGAAAAGGAAAUCAGUGCUUUAGUGUUCGCCAUUCAUUACCAAUCAGUCUCACACACGCACAUACAAACACAGCACCCUCUGCCAAUAUUGGCACGCUUGGUAAAUAUGAGGAAAGAAGGCUGUGAAUAACAUGUCUUUUAUUGUUUAAUCAAAAUAAUUACCAGAAAUGAUCUAACACAACACUAUUUUUACCAAAAACGGAAUAUAUUCUGGAUUCAUAGUCAUGUACAACCUGGAAAAGUCCUAAAAUUUUGACAUGACAUUUUCCAGACCUGGAUAAACAGAAAAAAACACACAAAGUUUUGGAAAAGUCAUGGAAAUUAGUUUAACAAUUACUUUAUUUGUAUACUUGAAUAUAGGUUAGUUGUCUUUACUUGUUUUCUGACAUGCUCUCACAUUUAGGGUUGUCACAAUACUAGAAUUCGACACCAAUCGGUUUUGCAAUUUUUAAAACUUCCAUUUCCCGCGAACAUUUGAGCGCAUGCUUAAACAUCGCUGAUUUUCCAUUGUGUUUACCCCUAUGACUGUGAUGGUCAGCGGUGAAGGUCAUCGGUUCUCCGAACUCACCGCUGUUUACUGAGUGUAACCACAGAUACAGGGUUACUGGAGCCUUUCAAAGUCAUUUCAAUCAGCUGGUUUGUCAAUAAGCUGACAUACGAGUGAUCCGCUGGUGAAUCACAGCUUUAAACCGCUCCAGUGUCCCAGUAUCUGUGGUUGCAUGGCACGCAGUAAACAUCGGUGAGUUCGGUUAAUCGAUGACCUUCAUGGCCAAUAGUCAUUUCUGUUAAGCAUGUGAACACAGUGGCAAAUCUGUGGUGUUUAAGAGCAUGUUCAACAGCGCUCAAAUGUUAGUGGGAAUGGACCUUUUUAAAAUUUCAGUAUCGUUUAGUAAUGAAUUCCAGUAUCGUGACAACUCGACUCACGUUAUUAGUGCCAUGUAAGCAU